rnacentral:rRNA from 1 species
UACGUAGGGUGCAAGCGUUAUCCGGAAUUAUUGGGCGUAAAGAGCUCGUAGGCGGUUUGUCGCGUCUGCCGUGAAAAUCCGGGGCUCAACCCCGGACUUGCAGUGGGUACGGGCAGACUAGAGUGCGGCAGAGGAGACUGGAAUUCCUGGUGUAGCAGUGAAAUGCGUAGAUAUCAGGAGGAAUACCGAUGGCGAAGGCAGGUCUCUGGGCUGACACUGACGCUCAUGCACGAAAGCGUGGGGAGCAAACAGG